GCAUAUCAAUAAGCGGAGGAAAAGAAACCAACAGGGAUUGCCUUAGUAGCGGCGAGUGAAGCGGCAAAAGCUCAAAUUUGAAAUCUGGCACUUUCAGUGUCCGAGUUGUAAUUUGAAGAAGGUAUCUUUGGGUCUGGCUCUUGUCUAUGUUUCUUGGAACAGAACGUCACAGAGGGUGAGAAUCCCGUGCGAUGAGAUGUCCCAGACCUAUGUAAAGUUCCUUCGAAGAGUCGAGUUGUUUGGGAAUGCAGCUCUAAGUGGGUGGUAAAUUCCAUCUAAAGCUAAAUAUUGGCGAGAGACCGAUAGCGAACAAGUACAGUGAUGGAAAGAUGAAAAGAACUUUGAAAAGAGAGUGAAAAAGUACGUGAAAUUGUUGAAAGGGAAGGGCUUGAGAUCAGACUUGGUAUUUUGUAUGUUACUCUCUCGGGGGUGGCCUCUACAGUUUACCCGGGCCAGCAUCAGUUUGAGCGGUAGGAUAAGUGCAAAGAAAUGUGGCACUGCUUCGGUAGUGUGUUAUAGUCUUUGUCGAUACUGCCAGCUUAGACUGAGGACUGCGGCUUCGGCCUAGGAUGUUGGCAUAAUGAUCUUAAGUCGCCCGUCUUGAAACACGGACC
rnacentral:rRNA from 1 species